UGUGGUAACAAUGGUCUACCCUUUUCCAGGCCCCCCCACUCCUGCUAUUUAGUCCCAGGGCUCAGGGCCCCCUGGCAACACUCCACUUGGGCCUCUUAAAAACACUCAGGGAGGCUCCAUCCAUCACGGGACACCAAAAAAGAUAGAGCUUCCAAUUAAUUCACCACAGCAAAAACUUUUACCUCUGAACACGGGUCACGCAUAGGGAAACUACAGGAUGAUGAAGAUGACAAUAUGCACCACAUUUAACCCAAACAAGCCAUUCUACACCGUCACUGAGACGCACACCUACUCGUGCAAGUACAAGCGUCAGCGCCAGCGCCAGCGCCAGAGCCAGAGCCUGAGCCCGAGCCCAGACCUGUGCCCGUGCCCGUUUCCAUAUCCAUGCCCUUGCCCAACUCCAUGUCCGUGUCUGUGCCUGUGCCCAAACCCGUGCCCAAGCCCGUGCCCAAGCCCUUGCCUAACGCCAAACCCUUGCCUAAGCCCAUGCCCUAGCCCAUGCACGAGCCUAAGCCCAUGCCCAAACCCGUGCCUAAGCCCAUGCCCAAGCCCAUGCACGAGCCCAAGCCCAUGCACGAGCCUGAGCCCCUGCAUAAGCCCAAGCCCUUGCACAAGUCCGAGCCCCUGCACGAGCCCGAGCCCGAGCCCGAGCCCGAGCCCGAGCCUAAGCCCACGCACGAGCCCAAGCCCGAGUCCAAGCUCGUGCCCAAAGUCACGCCGACAAGUCUGCAUCAGCACCUAUGAAUGCGAAAGCAGAGGCAGCAGGGGUAACAGAGGCAGUGGAAGCAGACAGUCAUGCUCCAAGUGCUCGUGCAGCUGCUCGACCCACACUGCCCGGACGUCCAGCAAACGCCGGCACAAAACCAAGGAAACCUACGUGGUCUCGCGCCCACACUCCCACUGACUGUGAGAGCUGGCUCUCCUUGGCACCCCUGUGCACCCAUGAAAGGGCUCGGCGGAACACACCGGGUGUGGUCAGCCAGGUCUUGGGAUCUGGCAAGAUAGGAAGAAUUUCUAAGUCUUUGUAAACAGCUGGCCUGGGAUGAGUUAUAGUUGGUUCUUCUGGCAGACAAAGGUCUACUCCUGCCCCAUCCCUAUCCCUUUAGGGGAUUCCUGGAUGUUUGAGGAACCUGUGGGAUAAAUGUUCAUCAGAUCCUGGAAGCUUUCCCUGGGGCCUGAAGAGGUAGUGAUGGUGAAGCCGGUCCCUAACAAUGACAACAUAUGAGCUAAGCACAAGAAAUUCAAACUCCGCGGAUGGAUAAAUGGAAGAAGAGAAACAGAAAAAGUUACAACAAACCAACUAGAAACUGUUCUCAAAAUAAAGGCCUUGGAAAACGUCA